rnacentral:tRNA from 1 species
AAAUAAGAAGCGAAAACUUGCAUUCAGUUUCGACCUGACUCUUGGCAGAAAAUCUGCCCUUAUUUU